AUUGGGCGUAAAGAGCGUGUACGCGGUUCGGUAAGUCUGUCGUGAAAACCUGAGGCUCAACCUCGGGCGUGCGAUGGAUACUGCCGGGCUAGAGGAUGGUAGAGGCGAGUGGAAUUCCCGGUGUAGCGGUGAAAUGCGCAGAUAUCGGGAGGAACACCAGUAGCGAAGGCGGCUCGCUGGGCCAUUCCUGACGCUGAGACGCGAAAGCUAGGGGAGCGAACAGGAUUAGAUACCCUGGUAGUCCUAGCCGUAAACGAUGGACACUAGGUGUGGGGGGAGUCGAAUCCCUCUGUGCCGCAGCUAACGCGUUAAGUGUCCCGCCUGGGGAGUACGGCCGCAAAGCUAAAACUCAAAAGAAUUGACGGGGGCCCGCACAAGCAGCGGAGCAUGUUCUUUAAUUCGAUGCAACGCGAAGAACCUUACCUGGACUUGACAUGGUGCUGCAAGCGCACGGAAACGUGUGACCUUCGAGGGUGCACCACAGAUGCUGCAUGGCUGUCGUCAGCUCGUGUCGUGAGAUGUUGGGUUAAGUCCCGCAACGAGCGCAACCCCCGUGGUGUGUUGCCAUCAUUAAGUUGGGGACUCACACCAGACUGCCGGUGACAAACCGGAGGAAGGUGGGGACGAUGUCAAGUCAUCAUGGCUCUUACGUCCAGGGCUAGAUACGUGCUACAAUGGCUGAUACAAAGGGUUGCAAGACCGCAAGGUGGAGCGAAUCUCAUCAAAGUCAGUCUAAGUCCGGAUCGCAGUCUGCAACUCGACUGCGUGAAGGCGGAGUUGCUAGU
rnacentral:rRNA from 1 species